GACCCGCAAGGGAGCUUGCACAGGUGCUGCAUGGCUGUCGUCAGCUCGUGCUGUGAAGUGUCGGGUUAAGUCCCUUAACGAGCGAAACCCCUAUCACUAGUUGCCAGCGAGUCAUGUCGGGGACUCUAGUGAGACUGCCGGUGUCAAACCGGAGGAAGGUGGGGAUGACGUCAAGUCCUCAUGGCCCUUAUGCCCAGGGCUGCACACGUGCUACAAUGGCGUAUACAAAGCGACGCGAGACCGCAAGGUGGAGCAAAUCGCAUAAAGUACGCCCCAGUUCGGAUUGUGGUCUGCAACUCGACCACAUGAAGUUGGAAUCGCUAGUAAUCGCGCAUCAGCUACGGCGCGGUGAAUGUGUUCCUGAGCCUU
rnacentral:rRNA from 1 species